GCGCCGCCGCGCCGAUGGUACUGCGACUUAAGUCGUGGGAGAGUAGGUCACCGCCAAAC
rnacentral:rRNA from 1 species